rfam:Salmo salar isolate Sally breed double haploid chromosome ssa13, whole genome shotgun sequence.
UGGCUCAGUUGGUAGAGCAUGGUGUUUGCAACACCAUUGUUGUGGGUUUGAUUCCCAU